GAUGGACGCUAGCGGCAGGCUUAACACAUGCAAGUCGAGGGGUAUUUAUCUUCGGAUAGAGAGACCGGCGCACGGGUGCGUAACGCGUAUGCAAUCUACCUUUUACAGAGGGAUAGCCCAGAGAAAUUUGGAUUAAUACCUCAUAGUAUAUAGACUCGGCAUCGAGAUUAUAUUAAAGUCACAACGGUAAAAGAUGAGCAUGCGUCCCAUUAGCUAGUUGGUAAGGUAACGGCUUACCAAGGCUACGAUGGGUAGGGGUCCUGAGAGGGAGAUCCCCCACACUGGUACUGAGACACGGACCAGACUCCUACGGGAGGCAGCAGUGAGGAAUAUUGGACAAUGGGCGCAAGCCUGAUCCAGCCAUGCCGCGUGCAGGAUGACGGUCCUAUGGAUUGUAAACUGCUUUUAUACGAGAAGAAACACUGCUACGUGUAGCAGCUUGACGGUAUCGUAAGAAUAAGGAUCGGCUAACUCCGUG
rnacentral:rRNA from 1 species